UGAAUGGCUGUUGCUGGGAAAUGGUGUUUAUAAUUAAAAUUUUCCCUUUAAAAUCUAUUCCAGCGUGGAAGGUACGGGCCAGGUGAUGUGCCAGCCCAUGCCAAAGGACAGGUGGCAUCCAGGGAGGUUCUUCACAUUCCUGUGGUUAUUGUAAAGUAUCUUCCAGACACAAAAACAGACAUCAAAUCCCCCACAUUUUUAAUGGUUAUAGUCAUGGUGGCAUGUUAUUGAAGGAAAUUUAUAUCCAGCACCUGUCUCCCACUUGCCUCUGGUACUCCAACUAUUACCUCAUAUAUAUUUUAUUAUCUGUUCCGAUAGCAGGUUCACAACAAAUGGAAAAUAUGUGCAGUGAUAAGCACAGGAAGCUGCAAUUUUACACCUACAAGCUAAGAUGAAAGCAAGGUGUUUGUUCCGCUCUUGGCAAAAAACAAGGAGUUGUGUUUGUGCAGCCCCUUCCCAGCUGCUUGAGAGACACCCUGGGAAUUCCUGCUGGCUCCAGCGUGUAACCUGAUUCAUGGCAAGGAACCCAGGAGGGAGGAACCCCAGCUUAUCAGAAAGAAGGAAAAAGUGCAGGUGGAGAGCAGGAGAGGGAGGGUCACUUGAACUUUGGGCUCCCCUGUCACAUUCCUGGCUGGCUGCCAGCUCUGCUCUCCCUGGAGAAGUGGAAUCAGCUCCUCAGAGGUGAGAUUCACCUGGAGCGAGCUGCACCUCGUCCUCCUGCCUCCUAAAAAGCUGCUAUCAUCAUUACUCUCAAAAGUGCUCUCUAGGAGGCAUUUUAUCUUCAUGAAAUGAGAUUUAUUAAGUUAAGAGCAAUACACGAAUCAGGUAUUGUUGACACAACUUGGUUUUCUUGACUCAUAAAAGUAAAUUUUCUACUUUAUUGAUGGGAAAGUGUGAUGUUUUCUAUUCCCAUGCUACUCCUGUAAAAUUCACGGUGUUGUUUUUGUUUUCACUGUUAAACACUUGGAAAGCUAUGAAAUAUCCUUCUCAAUGUAGACCGAAACCUAGAGGAAAACGACCAAAUUUUAGGUGCUCCCCAAAGGGGAGCCCAAGGGAUUGGCCAUGCCAGAGUCAUCCUGGGGUUUCACAGUAAAACACUGCCAGCGAUGGCAAGGAUCCCCUUGCUUUUUCCUAGAGCACAGGCAAGGAUGGAGCCUUCCUAGUGCUGGCAAAUUAAGCUUUUUU